UACAGAGGUGGCAAGCGUUGUUCGGAAUUACUGGGCGUAAAGGGCGCGUAGGCGGCCUUCUAAGUCAGACGUGAAAUCCCCCGGCUUAACCUGGGAACUGCGUCUGAUACUGGAAGGCUUGAGUGCGGGAGAGGGAUGUGGAAUUCCAGGUGUAGCGGUGAAAUGCGUAGAUAUCAGGAAGAACACCAAUGGCGAAGGCAGCUCUCUGGGACGGUACUGACGCUGAGACGCGAAAGCGUGGGGAGCGAACAGG
rnacentral:rRNA from 1 species